UGAGCUUGAUGAGUAGGGCGGGACACGUGGUAUCCUGUCUGAAUAUGGGGGGACCAUCCUCCAAGGCUAAAUACUCCUGACUGACCGAUAGUGAACCAGUACCGUGAGGGAAAGGCGAAAAGAACCCCGGCGAGGGGAGUGAAAAAGAACCUGAAACCGUGUACGUACAAGCAGUGGGAGCACGCUUAGGCGUGUGACUGCGUACCUUUUGUAUAAUGGGUCAGCGACUUAUAUUCUGUAGCAAGGUUAACCGAAUAGGGGAGCCGAAGGGAAACCGAGUCUUAACUGGGCGUUAAGUUGCAGGGUAUAGACCCGAAACCCGGUGAUCUAGCCAUGGGCAGGUUGAAGGUUGGGUAACACUAACUGGAGGACCGAACCGACUAAUGUUGAAAAAUUAGCGGAUGACUUGUGGCUGGGGGUGAAAGGCCAAUCAAACCGGGAGAUAGCUGGUUCUCCCCGAAAGCUAUUUAGGUAGCGCCUCGUGAAUUCAUCUCCGGGGGUAGAGCACUGUUUCGGCA
rnacentral:rRNA from 1 species